rnacentral:rRNA from 1 species
GACGAACGCUGGCGGCGUGCCUAAUACAUGCGAGUAGAACGCUGAAGGAGGAGCUUGCUUCUCCGGAUGAGUUGCGAACGGGUGAGUAACGCGUAGGUAACCUGCCUGGUAGCGGGGGAUAACUAUUGGAAACGAUAGCUAAUACCGCAUAAGAGUAGAUGUCGCAUGACAUUUGCUUAAAAGGUGCAACUGCACCACUACCAGAUGGACCUGCGUUGUAUUAGCUAGUUGGUGAGGUAACGGCUCACCAAGGCAACGAUACAUAGCCGACCUGAGAGGGUGAUCGGCCACACUGGGACUGAGACACGGCCCAGACUCCUACGGGAGGCAGCAGUAGGGAAUCUUCGGCAAUGGACGGAAGUCUGACCGAGCAACGCCGCGUGAGUGAAGAAGGUUUUCGGAUCGUAAAGCUCUGUUGUAAGAGAAGAACGAGUGUGAGAGUGGAAAGUUCACACUGUGACGGUAUCUUACCAGAAGGGGACGGCUAACUACGUG